GGCGGGGGGAGACAGAAACAAAAAUAAAACACAAGCUGCUGUUCUGUUCAUCAUGUGUGUGAGAGAUUGCAGAAGCAGCAAGCGACCACUCGAAUGACCUUCACGCUUAUGCUCUGCUGCUAAUUACUGAAGAAUGUUCACACCUCCAAAAAGACCCGUGAACGUCAGGCAAUAUAAGAUAAGAAAACCUUUAUUAGUCUCUGUUCUACCCACAGUAAAAGUUUCGGGCCAUUUCAUUAAUAGUAAUUCUGUUUAGAAUAUUCAUUUAGUUAUCGCGGCGCAUUGUGGUUAGCAGAUGCCAUGUUUCAUCAGACGAGUCAUUACAGAAAGCCUGACCGUGGUCGUCGCAACUGGUCCUCCUGAGUUAUAUUCCUUUCGUUUCACCUUCGAAAGCAAUGGCUUUUCACUCCACAAUUCAUUGAGCUGAUGUCACAGUUGUUCACUGUACGCCGUCAAGAAGACCGAAAUAAAGGAGCAAGACGCUCAGUUUCCUGGCGCA